CAUUCGGUUUUGUGUUUGUCAGCAGUAUUCGUAACCGUGUAUCGCUGCCUGCCGCCGUGCCAGCUGCGGGUGCUCGUUCCACGUACGAAGUCUGUCAGUUUUUGCAUUCCGGGUGUCAAUAUUACUUUCGUCGUUCGUUUCCCAUGAACAUUUCCGUUUCUAUAACGUUCGGCUGACCGAUAGCCACCUGACACGCUGUAACCGUCAGACGUUACACGGAACCGAUCGAAACUCGUGUACCUAGGUAUUUCCGUGUACUUUUGGCCACGGUUCUGUAAGUAACAUGAAGAUGAGUGACAGCAUGCACAAUUUAAACGACUACAUCGAACAUUACAAAAGACACAUCGGCAAAGCCACCGAAACCAACGACAAUGAGAAGGUACUGUAUACCUGUCGAAUUCCGAUCGAAGAAAUAGUUACGUUUACUUAUUUAGAAAUC